CGCCUUCCAUUCUCUCUCUCCAUGACGGUUGCGCAAGGGUACGCUUUUGGCAUCCGUGAAGAGAGGCGAACUGAAUUGCCCAGCGUGCCGCCGCCGUGAUGUACCUACGUACUAAGCCGCUGCCUCUCGAGGUUUACCUACUUCAUCUUCUUUUCUGUGCGCCGCAGCACCGGCGGUGAAUUUGAUUCAUCGCCCCGCGUACGCCGAGGCAGCUGCACUGUGUGUGCCAUCUGUUUGCAGCCUCGUUCAUUGCGAGGGCGCUUUGCCGCAUAGCGGCUCACGUACGUCUGCCGUUUUUGGACAUGGUGGCACCGACCACCGCAACGCUUCGCAUCUUUCCGUUUUAUGUGGUUCAGCGCGUACCAUUGUAAGCAAGCAACUCCGAAUCAAGCAUGAGCACCAGUGCAGCUCCGCCCAUGAUCACCUGCUUUGGUGUCCUGCAGGAUGAGCAGCAGAGGGGAUCUGUGCUGGAGGCGGAGCGCAUCCCGCACCUGAUUCCCGUCCUGGAAGGUCUGCACCGAGGGCAUGCCGCUGAGGUGGCGGGGAAGAGUAGCGUCAUGGCUGUGGCACAUCGGCUGCGAGAAGAGGGCGGCCCCGAUUCCGUCAAACUCCAGCCAAUUCGCUGGCGUGGCAAGGCAGAGGAUUCAAUCCGGGCGCAGCUGCAGCCGGUGCUGGCGCACUACCGGUCCCACAUCCUCUUUGUGCAGGAGCGGACACGGCGGCGGGUGCUAGAGUGCGAGGAACUGGCUGCGCGAGUGCCGCUCGUCACGGACUAUUACCAAUCUACGCCGCUGAAGUGGCGGUUGAGGGGGUACAUGAGUGACUGGGAGAGCCUCGAGAAGGCCGACCUGGAGUGCAUCCCGGGUACUGCAGCCGGUGUUGUCACUACCAUGUCGGAAGCUCUUCGUGACCGGCAGUUUCGCGAGGCCUUUCAGCGAUUUGAGAGCGUCCUGCAGAGCCGCGAUAGCAUCAGCGGCGCGUCCUCUGCCGUGCGCGAAGACGCAGGCAGUAUUCCUGGCCUCAGCUCUUUGGCGGCAUACAACGAGGUGCCGUUUUCGCCGCCACCGAGGGCGCCUUCAGGGUACUCUGAAGCGGCACCAAUGGAAGAAAGCGCGGCAGACAACGCAUUGGGCUCCGCUGUGGCGCACAUCGGUCCAUUGCGUCACAAGUAGGGUGGGAUAGACUCGGCGUUUUCUCUUCCGAGCCACCAGUAAACUAAACAGCGUUUCACAGAGCUGCAGCGGCGUGUGACUCUCGCCUUCGCUGAGGCCUCGGCGGUGUGGAAGAGACUCGACCUGGUGCAUGGAGUGCGGCUUGAUUUCGAGCAUCUGUAAUGCAUUUGCUUCUGCCAUUGGCCGCUCUGCUCCUCCCUGUGAUCAAUUCACACAAUGAUUACACCUCGAGUAGAAGCGCCAUCAAAUUGCCACGGCAACGUGGAAGAGUAGUGAAACAGCGGAGAUGGAUGGGCUCUCUCUAUCUCGGCGCACGCAAGUCCUCAUGAUCGCUCCUGUUUUUCUCCAAAGUAGCCCCACGAACGUGGGCCUCGUGAACGCCAACAGCGAACUUUUUUUUUGCGUCUUCAUUUAGCCUGAUGAGCCCCGAUAACGCAACGACACCUCAGAGCGUCGUUUCUCAGGGACCAGACCCCCCCUCCACUCCUUCUGGGGAAGCCAAGCAGCCCACCCGACUCUCCCCCUGCUAUCCUCCGCCAAAUGCCGAGCCACCUCUGGCUGUGGCACGAUCAGGCACCUACGACGUAAGGCAGCGGGGGUGGAGGAGGAGGAGGAGGGUGUCUGAGCGGUGCAUCGCUGCUGACGUCGGCGGUCCGGUGCUGGACGGCGUGGCGUCGCAGCGGCCCGCGAUCGUGUCAGCAGGGCGGCGCCAUCCAUAGGAGUUUAGGCGGCGUGCCAGCGUGGCUCGGACGUAUCCCCUCCCCCCGCCACCCCUCCCCUCGGUCCUCACACGGCCUACUAGUGUGGGUGGGUGGGUGGGGGGCUGAGUGCCACCGCCGAUGAGGGGGCAGGGAUGCGCCAGGGGUGGCGACGGGGCAUGAUGGACGCGGCUGUGAGGGACCCUGCGCUGCGGGCCUCUGGGUAUGGUUUGAGGCGGAGGCGGUGUUCCGAUGACAGAGUCGGCGCGUUGCUGUAAGGCUAUUGCAGCGCUGCUUCGCACGACGCGAUGGGGAGGAGGGGGCCUGCGGCAGGUGGGGGCAAAUUGGAGGUAAAGCCGUGCUGUGCGACCGAGAAAGAGAUGCGUACGAAGGGAAUGCGAGUAGUGCGUUGAUGGUGGGCCGUGGUCGGGGCAUGCGGCCAAGGAGGAUGCGCUGUCUUUUGUAUCAUUACCAUCUUCUCUGUUUUUCGUCGUCCAUCCAGUGAGGUCCCGGAUGCCUGUGGUGGUUGUGGCGAUGGUGCGAGAGAGGGAGAGGGGGCUACAUGAUGAGUUGCCCGCCUGUGGAUGCACCGUUGUGCUUAUCUUUGCCCGCCGUUCUCCGAACAUGACAGCGUGGUUCGCCAGGGAGGGGAGGAAGGAUGGAGGUGCGAUUGCACAUGUGACUAUUGUUCUCUUUUUUGUUUCUUUGGCCUCGAUGUCGCUGGACCGUGGCAAAGGCUGCGCUAACUCUCAUGUGUAGUUGAGGGGCAGCCAGGCUCUUUGCAAAGGGGCUUCCGUGACCUUAUGGCACCCGUCGUCUUCCGGGGCAGGUCACUGCCCGUGCCAUCCGUGUAAGUCCUGCGCCAUGCGACUGUCUCCUUUGGCGCCUCCGACCCGGUGAGACGGGGUGAUGAAAGGAUCGGUUGCACAGCAGUCGCGUCAGUACACAAACACAGCAGAAACGUGUGUGUGUAUCCUUUAAGACGCCCUCUACGCUUGCCGGUGUAGCCUCGGUCUAAGCGGCGCGAUCGCACGCACUGCCUCGCAAGUCGGCUUGACUCUGGCGUGCGUGCUGGCUCGCUUAAGGGCCUCGAUACGGUGCUCUCUGCCUUGCGCCAUCCUACUCUUUCCCUCUCAUCUUGGGUGGAGGUGAGGAAGCAUUUAUCAUGCCCGGCUGCGCACGUUCACGCUGAUCCGCUAGCACUCACAGCUGCGCAUGCCGAGGUGGUUUUGACGGCACACGGCCAAUCAUACACACAC
rnacentral:misc_RNA from 1 species